rnacentral:rRNA from 1 species
UGGGGAAUAUUGGACAAUGGGCGAAAGCCUGAUCCAGCCAUGCCGCGUGAGUGAUGAAGGCCUUAGGGUUGUAAAACUCUUUCGCCGGGGAAGAUAAUGACGGUACCCGGAGAAGAAGCUCCGGCUAACUUCGUGCCAGCAGCCGCGGUAAUACGAAGGGAGCUAGCGUUGUUCGGAAUUACUGGGCGUAAAGCGCACGUAGGCGGGCUAUUAAGUCAGGGGUGAAAUCCCGAGGCUCAACCUCGGAACUGCCUUUGAUACUGAUAGUCUUGAGAUCGGGAGAGGUGAGUGGAAUUCCUAGUGUAGAGGUGAAAUUCGUAGAUAUUAGGAAGAACACCAGUGGCGAAGGCGGCUCACUGGAUCGGUACUGACGCUGAGGUGCGAAAGCGUGGGGAGCAAACAGGAUUAGAUACCCUCGUAGUCCCUGAGCGGGCUGGCAAGGCGCAU